rnacentral:lncRNA from 1 species
UUAUGGUCCUUAUCUUCUUUCCUUGAGCGACGUCACUGGCGGUAGCCUAAAUUAAGAACUUUUUCCCAAUCAUCAUUCACAACAGCCUUUAGAAACCCAUGCUUCACCAUGACACCUUUUGGCAUCUCGUGUGCUCCGCGCCCAUAGGCACCUCACACUCUCUUGGGACGUACCCUUUGGCAAGUACUUCUUGUCUCAAAGUACCGGCAUCUGCGCACUACUCUGUGAAUUAGAUGCUUCGUUCAAAACUCUCUCUUUCCNNNNN